UUUUGAAGCGAGUUAUGCGCCUUUAAAGUUGGAGAUGAGACGCAGAGAAGCAGACAGUCGUUUUCUCUGGCGUCUCUCAAUCUCUCACCUCCAACUUUAGAGGCGCAUAACUCGCUUCAAAA
rnacentral:sRNA from 13 species